rnacentral:rRNA from 1 species
AAAUAACAAUACAGGGCUAAUGUCUUGUAAUUGGAAUGAUGGCGACGUAAAAGCUCGCCAGAGUACCAAUUGGAGGGCAAGUCUGGUGCCAGCAGCCGCGGUAAUUCCAGCUCCAAUAGCGUAUAUUAAACUUGUUGCAGUUAAAAAGCUCGUAGUUGAACUUCAGCCGUUGCGCCGUCCGACUUUGGUCGGUGUGUCGCUGUGGCUUAUCCUUUUACUUUGAGAAAAUUAGAGUGUUUCAAGCAGACUUUUGUCUUGAAUACUUCAGCAUGGAAUAAUAGAGUAGGACCUAUGUUCUAUUUUGUUGGUUUCCGAACGUGGGUAAUGGUUAAUAGGAACGGUUGGGGGCAUUCGUAUUUA